GACGAACGCUGGCGGCGUGCCUAAUACAUGCAAGUCGAGCGGGCUGAAUGGGAGCUGUCGCUUGUGCGUUCAUCGGCGGACGGGUGAGGAACACGGGGGCGAACUGACCGCAAGAACGGGAUAACUCCGCGAAACCGUGUCUAAGACCGGAUAACACCGAAGACCUCAUUGUCUUUGGUUUGAAUUCGGCACAAGCUACCACUUACGGAUGGGCACGCGGCGCAUUAGCUAGUGUGUGAGGCAACGGAUCACCAAGGCGGGGAUGCGUAACGGGCCUGAGAGGGUGACCGGCCACACUGGGACUGAGACACGGACCAGCCUCAUAGGGGCGGCAGCAGUAGCGAAGCUUCCGCAAGGGGCGAAAGCGUGACGGAGCGACGCCGCGUGAGAGACGAAGGCCUUCGGGUCGUAAAGCUCUGUUGUGGGGGACGAAGGAGCGACGUUUGAAGAAGGCGGCGCGGUGACGGUACCUGACGAGGAAGCCCCGGCUAACUACGUG
rnacentral:rRNA from 1 species